rnacentral:rRNA from 1 species
GUGGGGAAUAUUGGACAAUGGGCGAAAGCCUGAUCCAGCCAUGCCGCGUGUGUGAAGAAGGUCUUCGGAUUGUAAAGCACUUUAAGUUGGGAGGAAGGGCAGUAAGUUAAUACCUUGCUGUUUUGACGUUACCGACAGAAUAAGCACCGGCUAACUUCGUGCCAGCAGCCGCGGUAAUACGAAGGGUGCAAGCGUUAAUCGGAAUUACUGGGCGUAAAGCGCGCGUAGGUGGUUUUGUAAGUUGGAGGUGAAAUCCCCGGGCUCAACCUGGGAACUGGCUCCAAAAAUGCAUGACUAGAGUACGGUAGAGGGUAGUGGAAGUUCCUGUGUAGCGGUGAAAUGCGUAGAUAUAGGAAGGAACACCAGUGGCGAAGGCGACUACCUGGACUGAUACUGACACUGAGGUGCGAAAGCGUGGGGAGCAAACAGGAUUAGAAACCCGGGUAGUCC